AGACGAGUUAGAGAUGGAGGCCAGGAGCUGAGAACAUGCUAAAGUUUUCCGGGGAAGAAACCGAAUCACUUCCUCCUCACGGGCUUAGCUAACUCCUGGUCGAGACAGAAUUGGAGGCCUUUGCAUUCAUCAUUGUGAGAGUUAAUGAUCUUUUAGUUACAGUGCCAGAUUUUUUUAAAAAAAUAAAACGUAUUUAUUUUA
rnacentral:lncRNA from 1 species